rnacentral:rRNA from 1 species
UGAGUAAUGUCUGGGAAACUGCCCGAUGGAGGGGGAUAACUACUGGAAACGGUAGCUAAUACCGCAUAACGUCUUCGGACCAAAGUGGGGGACCUUCGGGCCUCACACCAUCGGAUGUGCCCAGAUGGGAUUAGCUAGUAGGUGGGGUAAUGGCUCACCUAGGCGACGAUCCCUAGCUGGUCUGAGAGGAUGACCAGCCACACUGGAACUGAGACACGGUCCAGACUCCUACGGGAGGCAGCAGUGGGGAAUAUUGCACAAUGGGCGCAAGCCUGAUGCAGCCAUGCCGCGUGUAUGAAGAAGGCCUUCGGGUUGUAAAGUACUUUCAGCGGGGAGGAAGGCGAUGAGGUUAAUAACCUUAUCGAUUGACGUUACCCGCAGAAGAAGCACCGGCUAACUCCGUGCCAGCAGCCGCGGUAAUACGGAGGGUGCAAGCGUUAAUCGGAAUUACUGGGCGUAAAGCGCACGCAGGCGGUCUGUCAAGUCAGAUGUGAAAUCCCCGGGCUUAACCUGGGAACUGCAUUUGAAACUGGCAGGCUUGAGUCUCGUAGAGGGGGGUAGAAUUCCAGGUGUAGCGGUGAAAUGCGUAGAGAUCUGGAGGAAUACCGGUGGCGAAGGCGGCCCCCUGGACGAAGACUGACGCUCAGGUGCGAAAGCGUGGGGAGCAAACAGGAUUAGAUA